rnacentral:rRNA from 1 species
CGAGCACGCGCGUGUGGCAUAUCAAUAAGCGGAGGAAAAGAAACUAACAAGGAUUCCCUUAGUAACGGCGAGUGAAGCGGGAAGAGCUCAAAUUUGAAAUCUUCAAGGUUCUACCUUGACGAAUUGUAGUUUAUAGAAGUGUUUUCUGUUAGUAGAGUGGCAAAAGUUCUUUGGAAUAGGACAUCAUAGAGGGUGAGAAUCCCGUAUUUGGUCAUUCCUUCCUAGCGUUGUGAUACACUUUCAACGAGUCGGAUUGUUUGGGAAUGCAGUCCAAAAUGGGUGGUAAAUUUCAUCUAAAGCUAAAUAUUGGCGAGAGACCGAUAGCGAACAAGUACCGUGAGGGAAAGAUGAAAAGAACUUUGAAAAGAGAGUUAAACAGUACGUGAAAUUGUCAAAAGGGAAACGUUUGACACCAGUGUUGUUUUUCCGAAAAUCAAUUACGAAUGUUUUGUUUUUGAGGAGUUAUGACUUCAUCGGCUUGCUCCUUUCUUUACGAAACUUUCUUAAUGCACUUUUCAGGUUAACAAGUCAACAUCAAUUUCUUUUGUUGUAAAAGGGUAUGAGGAAGGUGGCUUUCUUUUCGGAGAAAGUGUUUAUAGCCUUGUACCUCUGCAAUCGGAGAGAUUGAGGUCUGCAGCGUAGAUCCCUUCGGGGUUAGAUACAUUUGUGCUAAGUUAUAGCUUUUCAUAGACAACUUGUUGACUAUGUUAAGUCUUGUAGCUUACUCAGCUUAUGCUAUUUUACCUACGCUUAGGAUGUUGAACUCUAUCACACACAG